CUCUUGAAUAAAGAGUUAUUUCAUGUGCUUUUGAACUUAUAUUUGUGAAAAAAUCAUGAGUGAUGUUAGUUUAUUUUUAUUUUUUUUGUAGCUAACUUGGAUGUUUUCAUUAUCUUAAUUAAGUGUAAUUAUUUUUUAGAUUUUAAUAGCUAUUGGGUUAAAGAUAAUGAUUUCAUAGUUAAAUAUUUGCACAAAGGAAUGAGUGAGCUUAAGAGUCUAUUGUGAUGAAAUUAUUGUGUUGAUGGCUGAAUAUUCAGGAUUGCUGCAGCAAAACUGAAGCAUUGUGAUCAGCUGCAUUUUGGAGCAUGGAACACGUGGCAGUCAAGAGUCAAGCUUACAUUUCAGCUGAUGUGGCAGUGGCAGAAGGAAAUAUCAGCAUAAUGGAGAAAAGGACAAAAGAGAAGGAAGACUUGUUGUUUUGGGAGAAAAAGAGGGGCAUUAUGGUACUUUUGGAGGAGAAGAAGAUAACCUAAUAUACCAAAAGAAUGCUCCAGCCGUAAGCAUCAAGCAGCAGCCAUUUUUGGCAAAGGAAACCAGUGAGAAUAUCAGAGAAAACCCCAGGAAGAAAUAGAAGAGAGGGUCAAGGAAGAAGGAGGCCAACCCAAGAAACUCAAGCAUCAUUUGGAUUUGUAAUUUACUAUAUGAACGAGCAAGAAGACAUUGAAUUAGCUCCUAUUGACCCCGAGAUUGAAAGAACAAUUAGAAGAAGACUAAGGGAACAACGGGCUCAAAAUCGCCUUAAUAUGGCUGAAGAGGUUGAA